rnacentral:tRNA from 1 species
UGGCGAGUAGUUCAAGUGGCAGAACGCCUGGCUUUGGACCAGGAGGUUGCAGGUUCGAGUCCUGCCUCGCCAGCCA